rnacentral:lncRNA from 1 species
CAUAGAAGACACUUUUGAGCUGCCUCAGCCAUUCCUGCAGCUCAUGGUUAUGCUCCUGCUUUUGCUCAGCAUCUAACAGCACUGCCUUGACUAAUGAGAGAGUCUUUUUAAGGUCUCGGAGAUGGUCGUACAAACCCACCACCCGAGAAGCUUCUUGGAAAGCAUGAGAAGCAAGCUUUGUUAUGAGAGACUCAGCGAUGCUGAAGAUAAAUAAUUCAGCCAUGGUUUGUGUUAUCAGGAAUUCCAACACCAGAGAUCGAAAGUAAAAAUACAAGUCUUCACUGGUGAACUCUAGUUUUUGUGGCCAAUGGUUAAGGUUGUCCCCAGGAGCAAUAUCCUUUACAGCUCUUGCAAUUGACAAACAAAACACGUGGGUGGGGUACUUGACCAUAAAAAAUAAAUAUAUUCUAAUAUAGAUUUGCAUGUAAAAAUAAAAGGGUGAAUUUUGAACUAAACAUGAUUCUUAAUUCAAAAAUUUCUAUUAAUUUCAUUUCAUAACAUAUGUACUUGAAUCAUUUGUAUUUCUAAUAAGCAAUGACUUAUAAACAAUCAUUCUUAAAUUCUUUUUUUAUUUUACAAAAAAUCUUAAACUCUUAAUGUCUAGAAUAAAUUCAACUUAUCAAUUUAGUCAAGGGAAAAUAAUAUGUUUUAGAUUUUCACAAACUAGUGAGUUUUAUUUUAUAUCUUUAAUAAAAGAAUUACAUUAAAUCUCUAAUAAAGUAAAAAAAAAAAUUAUCGUUAAGUUCUUAAUAUUUGGUUCUAGUUGCUGAUAAAUUCCAUAAAUUUUAAUUUGAGUUUUUAGUAAAUUUUUGUUCAUUUAAAAUUAAAUAUCAAGAAACAAAAUAAAAUUUUUAUUUUACUGAAUUUAAAUAAUUUUUUUAUUAAGUACUCAAAAUAAAAUUUAUUAAUUUAUUUAUGGUAUACCUAAAUCAUAUUUUAACUUAUGGUAAUUAGCUUUCAAAACUUACUAUUUAGAGUUUGCGUGAAAGUUAAAUUAUUAAGUAGUCAAAUUUUGGCUUAAAAUUAAUUAUUUAGUAGUUAUUUAUAAUUAAAAGUUGAAAAAAUUAAUUAAAUUGAAUUUCUGGUUGCAGAUACGAAAAAUGAGGUUACAUUAAGCAAAAAGGGCAACAAAAAUGAAGAGAAAGAAGGAAUUCUGAAGCAGGCUCAGCCCAACAGUGGCGCUAAGCGCACAUAAGGCGCUAAGCGAGCAACCAAAUGCAGGCGCUAAGGGAUGCGCUAAGCCUGGCUACGCGCCCAGCGCGCCCAGAAGCUCACUUCAGCAACUAUAAAUAGAGAGUCAAUCCCAAAGAAUCAUCACCUCGUCUCAUAGCACUGUUCUCAGGACUUCAAGCCUGAGCUUUCCUUUCUCUCUUACUCUUCUUUGUUUUUAUUAUUCUCAUUCUUUCCUUCACCCCAAAUUGUAAGCCCUCAAUGGCCAUGAGUGGCUAAUCCCCUAGCUAGGGCCUAGCAGGCCUGAAAAGCCAACGAUGUACGGUGUGCUUCAAGAAUUAUCAAUGCAAAGAGAAUUUCUCAUAGGUUUUUCUGUUCUAAUUCUUUCUUUAUUAUCUUGCAUUCGUUCUUAAACUUCUUUUGGGUUUUAUUAGCUGGGGAGAGGGUAUUCCCCAAUAAAUAUUUAAGAUUCAAUGCAUGCAUUAGUUUUAGGGGUUAUACACUUGGGAAAGGGUAACGCCUAACAAAACAUCUCAAGAAAAGAAUCCUUGGGUUACCAUUGCUAGGCAGAGAAUGAUAACCCAUUGCCCAUGCAUUUAAGCAACAUCUAGAACUUAACCUUAAUGCAUUUUAAUUAUUGAAUCUUCGCAAAGGCAUUUGGGAGAUAGGUAGUUAAAAUAGGCUUACCAACGUGAGGCAUCAGGGUCAAGUAGUUAACAAAUGUGGAUAGAACUAAUACCUGUGCAUUGGUAAUGAAUAUCAUAUUUACAUGCAUCGUAGGCCAAUUAGGUUCGUCUGGUCUUGACAUCUUUAUUAAUUGUCUUUCCUCUUUAACCAUUUGAUUUAGUAAUCACCCUUAUUUCUGCAUUUAUUUGUGUCUUUAUUAUCUUUACUUAUAUACUUACAAAUUGAGAAGUAUUUAAUUAAGUGCAAUAAAGUCCCUGCGAAAACGAUACUCGGACUUCCGAGUUAUAUUACUUGAGAGCGAUUUGGUACACUUGCCAAAGUCUCAACAAUCUUUAAUAAAAGAAUUACAUUAAAUCUCUAAUAAAGUAAAAAAAAAAAUUAUCUAUGUUCUUAAUAUUUGGUUCUAGUUGCUGAUAAAUUCCAUAAAUUUUAAUUUGAGUUUUUAGUAAAUUUUUGUUCAUUUAAAAUUAAAUAUCAAGAAACAAAAUAAAAAUUUUAUUUUACUAAGAAUUUAAAAUAAUUUUUUUAUUAAGUACUCAAAAUAAAAUUUAUUAAUUUAUUUAUGGUAUACCUAAAUCAUAUUUUAGCUUAUGGUAAUUAGCUUUCAAAACUUACUAAUUACAGUUUGCGUGAAAGUUAUCAAUAUCAACCGAGAAUUCGUUAGUGCCGCCUUGAAAGAGUCACGUACAUCAUCAACGGUUGAAAAACUCCCAUUAUCCAUGAGGUCAUAUGGCCGCAAUACAUAUGAGAAGUAUCCAGCAAAAAACUCCCAUCAACAUAAGUACAGACUCGUGAAAUUGGCCAUGAAGUUUCCACUACCGCUCAAAUGUGCUGCAAAUUUGAUAUAUACUAUACAUUGCUGCAAUUAAACGAAUUAAUUUUAUACUCAUUUUAAGACAACAGUACUUUUAUUACUUCAUGUUUUUAUCAUUUUUUCAUUUCUGUUUAACAACAAACAUGUCACGCUUGUUGCUUCAAUUUUCUUACCAUUCUUGGGCCUAAAUUAGUUAGUGCUUUUAAUUGAACUCUAUCAAUGAUCCAAUAGUACAUACGUGAUAUGCUCAAGUUCGAAGGCUGGUUUACAAGGCCAGCACCUCCAGAAUAGAGGGAGAAGAUGAAGGAGAAGAUAAGUAUCAAAAUUUUUCAUUGCCUUGGUUGCUUAUUACAUUGUUUAUUUAUAGUGCUUUCUAAUAAUAGAAUUGUAUUAAUUGAUUCCCUAGGAAUAUCACACUAACAGAAUUUAUUAGGCUGUCCCUGAGGGUAGACAGCACUAAGGCAAGCAAGGAUCCUGAGCUUUGUCGUUUUCUUCAUACCUAAUCGCUGAGGUAGGCUAGUUUUGUGAGUUUUCUUUUAGGCUUGUCUUCUAUUUGCAUCUCCCUUUUUCUGAAUCGAUACACAACUUUCUAAAUAGACCAACAAAAUUCCACAAAAUACCUCAAAUAUAUUCUAAACAUACUUUCAUGUCCAAAAUAUUAUUUCAUAAAUCUCUAACUGAUAGUUUCAUAAUUCUCUUUUCUUAAUUUAAUUUAUUAUAAUUUUAAAUUAAAUUUAUAUCUAGAUGUUAACAAAAAUUAUUUUUACACUUUAGAUACUUUUUUAAAUUUUAUUUUGAACUUCAAUUUUAUUUUCCCUUAAGUUUUUUAAAAAUGAAUAUAUUACAAGUAAAACAGAAUAACAAAUAGCCAAAUCUAAAAAUAGGAAUUUAGACACUCUGAUAAUUGUAGGGAUUAAAACAAAAAAAUAUAUUAAAUUAAAUUAAAUAACAAAGACAGUGACCAAAAAGAUAAUUUUACAAGUAUCUUUCGAAAAAAAAAUAUUUUAUAAGGAUUAAAACAAAAAAAAUAUAUUUUAGAGAACAAAUUGUAUUAUAGGUUUAUUUUUUAUAAUGCUUAGUAUACAUAUUACCAUAUGGUAAAAAAAUUAUAUAUCUCAUCAUUUGUUCAAUAAUUAAUUUCUCUAAAGAAAUAAAAAUAAGAUUAAAAUUAAUCUAAUCCAAAAAUUGUAUCAGAUGGAAUCAGAUUUAAAUUUUAAACCAAUUUGAUCAGAUGAUAAAUUUAUAAAUUCCAACUCAAACCGUAUCUUGUAUAUAUAGUUGUUACUUUUUAUUUAGGCACUCUGGAGUUGUCAUGGACAAUAUUUUGUUUUCAGCGGGUCUUGGGUUAAGAUUUUCCGACCUGUGAAUUCUCUUUUGUGUGGAAUUCAAAUCCAGCUGCAUGUUUGAAAGAUUUUUUGAGUCGAUGGUGGUUGUAUUUUGUGGCAAUCGGGAUCGGGAUUAACAGAAAUGUGUUCUGUUUCCUGUUGUUUCAUAGAAGUGUGUUAUCUGUAAGAGUGGGGAGAGCAUAUUGGGAACUAUUGAUGGGUUGAUAAUCUUGUAUGGACACCAAGUGUCUCCCAAAGCGUAGCUACCUCAACACUAUUAAAUUCAUAAUCCUUUGGGUAAAGUGAAAACAAUGCAAAACAUUGCCUCAAAUAGGAAGGCAAGAAAUCAUAACUUAAUUUAAGUGCAGGUAAAAUGUCAUCUUUAUUUUGCGGCAAAUUCCAAAUUUCAUUGUCUCUCACAUAAUCCCACUCAUUUACCUCAAACUUUGAAAAUAGUAAACUCCCCAAUGUUCUCACAGCCAAUGGAACCCCUUUGCAUUUGUUCACAAUUUCUUUUCCGAUAUUUACCAAAUGAGGAUGCUUUUCCUCUUCGCCUUCGUUUUUAAAUGCCCAUUUGACAAAAAGAGACAAUGAAUUCUUCGGAGAAAGGCUUUGUAACUUGUAAGAGGCAACAGUCCCCAUCAUGGAAGCAAUGGAAUCAAUACGUGUAGUAACUAGAAUUUUACUUCCUGCAGCAACCCCUACCUUUAUUAAAUUCCUCAGCUCAACCCAUCUAACACGGUCAUCAUUCCAUACGUCAUCCAAGACAAGUAAGAAUUUUUGACCGGCAAGUCUGCUUCUCAAUUGAUUUUGUAAUUGCUCCAGAUCGACCAUGUCUAAAUUUUGUUGGCGAAGAGGAGCAUCAGCAACAUUCGCAGAAUUGAUGAUUUUGAUAAUGAGUUGGUUAAUGUCAAAGUCAUCAGAAACACACACCCACAUCUUUAAUGGGAAACACCCGUCUAUCCUCUUAUCAUUAAACACAAACUUUGCAAGUGUAGUUUUUCCCAAGCCUCCAAUCCCCACAAUGGGGAUAACAGAGAGACUUUUAUCAUCAUCAUUGGGAUUCUGCUGCAUCAAAAGCUCUAUGAUCUUUUCUUUAUCAUGUUCCCUUCCUAUCACAUCUGAGUCACUCACACGGGAGUGUGUCAUGCGACUCGUGUCUCUCCUAUGCACAACACGUGUGUCAACAUCAAUUGUUCGGAGACCAAACUUGUGCCUAUCAGCUGCAACCUUGUCUAGCCUCUUGCUGACAUCUUUGAUUUUCUGAGCCAUCUUGGAACGAAAAACAAGUGGAUUAGAACUUGAGAAGAAGUGGCUUACCUCGUCUUUAUCUUCGAAAUGUAUACGUGUAAGUACGUAAACACACGUUCUUAAUUAUGUGGAUGUAGGUUCAUUGUCUGAUGGUGAAGUAAGCAAAUUCUAUAUAAAAUAUAAAAGAGAUACACAUUACACCAUCCUUAUCCAGCCAGAGAUACAUACUCAUUUGUAAUCCAAGAGAAAAAAUUAGAGGCAAAUUUAAACUUUGAAAAGGGAUAUGUAAUUUGAAUCAAUUCAAAAGAAUAUAUUUUCUAUAUCGGCAGAAGCACACUUUCUAUUAAGAUUCUCGAUCAAUCCAGGUGAAAAAUACUGAUACAAGAUAACUACAACAGCACCAGUUACAUUCGAGAAAGUAUGCAAGUCCAACAACUGCAUUGUCUCCCUUGCUGUGUUUGCCUGACUUUCUGUAUGAACAAUCCCUUUGGAAAAGUAUGGGAUUAGGGCACAUUAGUAUAGCAUCAAUGCUUUGUUAACAUUUUAGUUAAUUAAAUUUCAAAUUCCAAUUAGCAUGAUAUCCAAACAAAAAAUUUUAGACUUAGAAAUUUUAAAUUUUUUAAAAAUUAUUUUUUCUGUUUUAAAUACUUCAUUCAAACAUAUCAUAAGAGAAUCAUCAACAACAACAAAAAAACACACACUGAGAGAAACAAACAAACAAAUUUGUUAUUGGAUUAGUGUUUUUAUAAUUGAUUCUGAUAUCAACUUGAUUAUUCUAUAGAAUUGAUUCCAAUUAAAUGUAAUUUUAGAAUAAUGUGAUUUUUAUUUUGAUACAUAUAUAUUAAAAAAAUAAUUUUCAUAUUUAAUGAUAUCUGAAAAGUAACUAUCAAAAUUAAUUUUGAAAUAAAAUUACCAAAAUGGAUAUUAAUUGUUUGUGGAUGUCUUUUGCAUUAUAAUUUACCAAAAUGGCAGUGUCUAAUAUCCCAAGUGCCUCGGUGAUUACAGGGUUAGCUAGUUAGUUACCAACAAUAUCAGCUUCCAUGAUAUUGUUGGUAACUAGAAAUGAAAAUUAAUUUAUAUACGUACGCUUCACAUUUUACAAACCUCCGAAUAUGGUAUCACUGACCUUGAUUCCACCCUUCUCCUCUUCAACCUGCCCUUUGAGGCCUUCCUACAACACCAACAACAACAAUAUCAGCUUCCAGGACCUUGUCAUCCUUUAGUUUGACUUCUUUUAGCAGAAUGAUGGAUGAAAGUCAUGGUUACUUUGAUUAGGAACUUUAAAAUGCCAUCCCAUGACAGGGUUCCGAGAUCCCAUGCAAUCAUAAUACCUCUCAAUCGGAAUUAGACGUAAUGCUUUAAUUGGAUCGGUAACUCAACCGGCCUUGAGGCACUGAUUAACAGUCUAUUGGUUGAAUCGGAGUUUUAAGUAUAAAAUAGUUUUUGAAAUCAUUCAAUUACACUCUCUUACGGUAAAUUUGUUAAAUUUUAUAAUAAUUAAAAAUCAUAUAAAUUAAUAAUAAUUUAUGAUUAAAUAAUAAUAUAAAAUUAUUUUACAGCCAUUAAGCUCAUGUAUAAAAAGUGUGUGAAUAUUUUUUUAUGUUGAUUUAUACUAAAUAUUUUUUUAUGUUGGUCAUGGGUUCGAAUCCGGAAACAGCCUCUUUGCAUAUGCAAGGGUAAGGCUGCGUAUAACAUCCCUCCCCCAUACCUUUGCAUAGCGAAGAGCCUCUGGGCAAUGGGGUACGAAGUUUUUUAUUGUCAUUCAAUUGGUGCUAGCUUGCAACAAACUUCAUUUAAAUUUAAACAAUAAAACUCCUUUUCAUGUUUUUGUCACACCAUCUCCCUCCUCAAAAGUACAAAUUAUCACUCUGUCAUAUAUACCAGCACAAACAAAUCAAGCCAACAUACUAAAAAACAAGCACACCAAAAACACGACUUAAAACAUAAUAAAGAUCAUUAUUCCAGGUGCUUGAUCGUGCCCUCAUGUAGCCUUUAUUUGUACAUACUUCGUACUCUACUUUAUUGCCAAGUGUAGAAGCAGUUACUUCCCUUCACAUCUUUAUACAAAUAUUUAAGUAGGCUUUUCAUUCUCCAUAGGUCCAUAUAACCAAACUUGUCUUCCACCAAGUUCCUGCGUUGGCCUUGCAUUUUCCUCAUAUCCCUGUGGAACAGUUGCAAUUUAGAUAAUGCUUAAGUAGAUGAUGUACUUGUAUUGUAUGAUCACUUAUAUGGGAAUUUUAGAUUUGAUAAAUAGUUCUAAAAGAGAAGUAUUCAUGCUUCUUAUAAACAUUUUAUAUAUAUACAUAUACAUAUAUAUAUAUACACAAUUAACUAAUUAAAAUUUACUUGUAAAUAUAUGACUUUUAAUUAAAGUCAUUUUUAUAAAAGUCUGUAGUUUUUAAUUAUAUGUCAGUUCAUGAUUAAAUGUAAAAUAAAUAAAAAAAUAUCUUUACAUUUUCGGUGUAUUCCAGUUAUAUAUAAAUUCAAAAACAUUUGUUUUAGGAAACUUGAUAGAUCUAGUGGGUGCUAAUUUACUUACAUGAUGAACAGCUCCUUUCAAGGCACUUAAUUGCUCGCUUGAGACUGUCCUGACCUGUAAUACACAUGCAACAUAAGUUUAGAAAAGGGUGUCUAGUAAAAAUAUAGUCUUUGCCAGUUAAGAAAAUCAUGUGAAUAAAGUACAGAACCUUCUUCACAAUUGUCCAAACAACACCUUCAGUGCAUGCUGGAGUUGUAAGAGAACCAACAUAUCUGUAGUACGGUCUGCUUUUAAACUUGAUCUCUCUUGAGUUGAUUAGUCCUACAUCUAUAUCCUUGUCCACACUUGAUUUUAUGUCAUUGAGCAGCUGCCAGAGAGAAUAAAGUUUUUGUUAUAGAAAAAACAAAUUGAAAUUAAUCACUCAGUCAUUUCCAGCACCAUAUUAAUCACUCAGCUACAAUACAUAAAUUCGAAAUUAACCACAUAAUCAUUUCCAGCAUCAAAUUAGAUUCUCUUUUAUGACUUAUGUAUAAUCAUUGCGUUAAAUAAUGUUAAUAGCAAGGUUUUAAAUUAUGGUCACACCUAUAGCUUUGUAUUCUUGAUAUUGUAGGAAAGUAUGGAUAAAUAUAUCUAUGCAGCUGAUAUGGCUAUAAUUGUAGAUGCAAAGAUCACAAAAUCCUUGACAUUGCAGUCAAAAUUGUAGUUGUGGACCAUUUUUUAAAAUGACAAAAUAGUUUAACCACAUUUAUUUACUUAUAAAGCAAAGGACAGGGUUUCAGCAUUGAAUAGAAUUUAGGAGCCCUUAUUUUCAUUUUUAUCUAUAGACUGCUUCUUCUAAAAUUUGAGAUUCACAGAAUCACAGAAGGGGCAAAGUUAUCUUACAAUUUAUAGGGAAGAGAAGAGAACUAUAUGUACUUAAAUUUACAUAUUUGCAAACAUUUAUCUAAACUAGAUAUAGAAACAUGUAGUAAUCUAUACACUAAUUCUCAGAAGUGUACACAGAUGUCAAGAGCAAACCUUUGAAAAAAAGGGAUCUGGAGAACCAAUUUUAUACAAUAUUCCAAUAACAGCAAACUCUCCUUUAGAGGUUGUAUGGACUGCAUGCAGUUCCAAGUCAAACCUAAAUAACAAAUAGAAGACAUCUAUAUUUAUAUGGAGAAUCAUGCAAAGCCAAGCCUAAAGAGUUUCCUUAGCACUGCAUCAAGCAGUUAAAGAAGCUAAAUGAAAAAUGGAAAACUCACUUUGUUCCAUUCAACGUGUGCUCUGAAGGUGUAUGCCAAUGACAUUGAAUCAGAUUAUAGUAAGUUUCAUUUAUGUUAAGCUGGCCUGCAUCUCCUUUCCAUUCCAGCUGUCAAAACAUUAAGCACAAAUAUUAGGUUCAUUAUGCAAAUUUGUCCCAGCUCUCAGGAAGUACUGAUCCAUUGAUAAGUACUGCUAUAUAUGCGACUAGAAAAUUUUUAUCCUUCAUGUUAAUAAGUAAGAUUUCCAAUGUAUUAAUGUGAAAUAUGAUGCAACAACUAAGUGUAUGUUCAGAUAAAAGUUUGCAAAAACAACUAAAGUCUUGUUUCUACAAAAUUGAGUUUUCAAGCCAAACUUUAAUGUGUAAACGUAUAUAUAUAUAUCCAGAAAUGUCAAGAAUCUGAGUUAUUCUCCAAAUUUAGUUAGGAUCACGCCAAACAGAAAACUGAACAUAAUCCAAAGGUACCCGAAAAAUAAGAAGUUCAUGAACCAAUAGGAUGGAGUGCGAGUUUGGAUACACGUUAGAUAUCCAACACCACAUGUUUGGCCCUACAGUGAGGAGUUGAUUCUGAUUCUUAGUCUAAAAUUAAUUUUGAAUACAUUGAAUAUGUUUUUUUAAGAAUAAAAAAAUUUAAAUAUAAAUCACUUCAUUUGGUAAUUAAUUUUACAUACUUUCACUCGAACGCAUAGUGACUUACCACGAUGUCAUGACCCCUAUUCUUUAGGACAGCAGGAGCUGAUUUGUAAGCUUUCUUAAGUUUACCCAAUUGAGGAAGCUCUUGAACCCUUUGGUCAAGCAGAUCAAUGGGAGAUUGUAGUUUUCCAUCCCCACAUGUUUUCCAUUUUUGGUUGAUACGCCACCAAUUCUCUGGCCCUGUGCUACUUCCUAUAGCGUAGGUAUAUUCUUCAUCUUCUGUUCACACAAGGGAGAAGCCAAGGUCAAUAAGCUCAAUAAAGAGUAAUGAGGCAUUAAUGAUUCCAAUUGUUAUUCUUUUUUUGGCUGAAUUUUCAAUUGUUAUUCUACAACCGUGAUUUUUUGAAUUGGACCACAAGAUAUUACAAUUAGAAGAACCUUAAAAUUGCAUCAACAACAGGUAAAGCUGUGAAUAACUGCAUUGUACAUGCAUUGUCCAAAUUGAGAGAUUAACCAGUGAAGGUUAUAAAUACUGUGAGAAAAAUUAAAAGAUGUCAAAUUCGGAAAGAUCGACAAAGGACCCUUUAAUUUUUUUUCCCCCAAAGGCAUAAGAAAUUGGCCUCGUAACAGGAGGAAAGGUUGGUAACAAAAGAUAAAAGAUAAAAAAAAAUUGGGAAAACAUAAGGAAAAAAAAGUAUAUAGCUUCACAAAUGUGGAGAGACUAUUAAUUUAUGAUGUGGGCUCGGAGAAAAGGUGAAUGAGAUAUAGUCAUUUCGUGACUCCCAAAUAAGGUUGUAAAAAAAUUAAGGUUCAGUAACAUAAAAGAAACGAAACGUACGUAAAGCGUUUUCUUUUGAUGUUUUUUCCAUAAUUCUAAUUUACAUUAAUUUAAUAAGGAAAGGGUUAAAAAUGAAAAGUAAACCAUAUGAAUCAAAAAAUCAACUAAAGGAGAAACAAUUGGUUGUUUUAUGAAUGCAUCUAGCUCCUGUAUGCAAAAACAAGUUAAAGUUCAUGCUGGUUGAUCAUUAAAAAAUUAGACAUUCAGUAUUGAUAUAUCUUUCUUAUGAAAAUAUUCAUUACUAAUAUUUAACAUCGAAGAAACAAUUGUCAAAUCAAUUAGAUCUUCAAUCACAAGAUAAAACAAUUUUAAUUAAUUAUAGAUGGUGAAUCAUCCAACAAAUUUUUCAUAUAAGGGGUUGUGUAAUGCACUCGUUUGGAAAAGAAGGAAAAUCAAACUUCAUACUAGAGAAAUUAAAAUUAUUGGAAAGAAAAUGAUCAAAGAUUUUUGCAUAAAACUGCUUUUAGAAUGGGAAUAAACACAAAAUAAAAACGGGCUAAACAUGAUGUUAGGGAGGAACAUCAAGAUAUUACUAAUAUCCUUGGUUUCCUCAAUUUGCCAAAAAUGAUGAAUCACAACAAUGACACCUUUUUUUCAUUUUCUCUAACAUGAAAAAUAAAAAAAUAAAAAUGAAGGUAUAUAUAUAUAUAUAUAUAUAUAUAUAUAUAUAUAUAUAUAUAUAUAUAUAUAUAUAUAUAUAUAUAUAUAUGUAGUGACUCUUGUUUGCUUUUGUGCUUUUGAAGAUUUAUAAUAAUAUGCUCACAGCCUCUAAUCUCAUUUCAAGGGUUGUCAUCCAAUGUGCCUAUUUUCACGUUAUCAAGGUUAUUCAUUUUAGUUACUUAUUACGUAUGUUUGGUAUGUUGGUUUAUGGUAUGGUUAUGGUAGAAAUACUGAUUUAUUUACCCGCUAAGGAAAAAACUGCCAAUUAAUUAUAUUUAAGCUAAAAUGGGAUUUAGGUCCAUUUAUUUUUUUAAUAUAUAAUUUUGAUUUCUUUAUUUUAAAAUUAAGAUAUGUAGUUAUUGUAUUUAAAAAAUUAAUAAUUUUAAUCUCUCUAUUCAACAUACAAUUCAAAUUAAGAUGUUGACCGUUAAUUCUAACUUUAACUCAUGUUAUUGAAAAGAAAAUUACUUUUCAACCCGUUCAUCUUCUUUGCACCAUUCUUCAUCAUCCAAUUUUUUCAGCAAUGUUCCCACCUCUGUUUCUUGUACCUCUCCUCUAUUAUCAUCCUCCUUUUCCCUUCAAUUUAUAUCUAAAUCCCCAAUUUUUUUGGUUGGAAUUGUCAUCCUCCCCAACCCAAAUAGUGUAAAUAGUCUGCAAAAAAAAAAAUCCUAUUUGAAGAUAUAUGCUACGGAACUGUAUUUAAAAUGUGAUAAGAAGAAGCAUUGGGGAGGUGAUGGUGUAGUUUUGAAACCUUUCGCUUAAAUUCUUUUGUUUCUCCUUUUUUUUAAUCGAAAAUAUAAAUCCCUAAUUUUCUUUUGAGGUUUGACCUAUCUAAAAAAAAAUUCCUAAUUUCUUGCCAAGAACUUUUGAUGUUGGUUGCAAGGUUGAAAUCGAGGUUCUAAAAUUUGAUAAUUGUUAAAAUUUAGGUUUAGGAAUGUUUUUCAAGUUCUCCUAGUGAUUUUAUGGAGGAAGGUAGCUCGGUGUGGAACAUCUUUGUAAGAGAGAUGUUGACAAUCGAGAGACGCCAAUGACUUUGUCGAAAACAAGUUUCGUGGUGGUUACAAUUAAAUUAUAUUUUAGUGUUAUAUUUAACAUUAUGCAUGUGCCUAAACUAAAUUAAAUAUUAUGAUGUGUCUAAACUGUAAUUUGUAAUUAUUAAUAUGUAAAUUUAUUUUGAAAUAUUAUUGAACAAUAAUGUAAAAAAACUAUUUUAACUAAUUAAACUUUUAGAAAAGACUUCCCUGUAAAUAACAUAAAAGGUAUUACCCCAAUUUAAUUUAGGAAUUCCAGUAACUGUAAAAAUUAUGUGUUUUUUUAGCUUAAUUUGAUCUACACCGUGAUGUAGAAAGGACUAGAAUUAUCUAGAUGAGACAAAAUUUAUAUCUUAGAUAUUUUUAAUAUUGUUUUCUAAUAAAAACUGAAAUUUCAAUAGGCUGUCAAGUAUAUUGAUGAAAAUAGGCUGGGCUUAUGAAAUUAGAAUUGGUUGUCAAGUACAUUUAAAGAUCAUAUUACUAAACACAAUGAAAAUUAGAAGGAUAAAAAAAUUAAAUCCUUAAAAUAUAAUAAUCAAAAUUAAAAUAAAUUAUAAACUAAAUAUAUUCAAAUAAUUAAUUAUUAACAAUUUAUUAUACCAUUUAAGAUAAAAUUACUAUUAUUUUUCAGAAUUUAUUAUACCAUUUAAGAAGGGCUCGGGAGAAAGGAGAGAAGGGAAAAAAUACUAUUAUUUUUCACAAUUUAAUGAUAUUUGAAAAGUAAUUAUCAAAAUUAAUUUUGAAGGUAAAAUUACCAAAAUGGAUAUUAAUUGUUUGUGGCUAUCUUUUGCAUUAUAAUUAACCAAAAUGACAGUGUGUAAUAUCCCAAUUGCCUCGGUGAUUACAGGGUUAGCUACUAGUUACCAAAUUAUUUUGUUUUUAUUUUAGUAACCACUGUUUUUGCUGUACGGGCAAAGAACCAACAUUAUAAACCAAGAAAUAACACUUUAGUCCUAACCAAGCAAUAUAAAAACACUGCUAUUAUGAACCAACAGCACCAAAUAAAAUGUUAACAGAAUAACAUUAUAAAAUGCUACAACAACACCAAAUAUAGCCGCAACAAAAUAACAGUAUAAAAAUAACAAUCACAUUAAACUUUAUAAGGAAGGAACAAUCAAUCCUCACCUCUUGAAUUGAUUUUUGGGUUGAGUUAGACCUCUCAUAUUAUUUCCUCUGAGAAAAACAAAGUGAAGGACAAAAACGAAAAAUCCGAACAUUGAAAUCUGAGAAUUGAUACUCCCAUGACUCAGAAGCAGUUCCAAUAACUUCACCCAAAAUCGAUUUUCAAUACGUGAAUCACGUCCAACACAAUAAAUCAAACAUCAUGGUCUCCUCUUUUUUCACGUUUGACCAUUCCUGAUCCACAUCCAGGGGUUGCCAAAGGAGCUUCAACGCUUAUAUGUGUCAACAAAUCAUUCUUAUUCGUCUUCUUCUUCCUUCAGCUUUUCUGGUUCUUUAAUGAAGACGUCUUUGAUAUGUGAUAUUUUGGACCAAAACUCACCGACAUGGGGCUGGCAUUUUUUGCAUAAUUCAGGGCAACCACUGAUAUGCAAAUGUUCAAGUGCGGUCAGGUGAUGGAUGUUAUCCGGGAGAGAUAUAAGCUUUGGACAACCAUAUAUAAGAAGUACUUUCAGAUUAGUCAUAGUUGACAGCCACUCCGGAAGCAUUUCAAGAUUGUCGCAGUCUGAAAUAAUCAAGGUCCGUAAGGAGUUGGCAGUUUCUUGAAGCCAUUGAGGUAAGGCCACCAGCUGUGGUAAGCCCCAGAAUGCAACAUAUUUUAACCUUAACUUGGGGUUUUGUUCUUCAUGGUGUUCCUUCCACAGAUCUAAGUCCAGAUUAACACAAUCUUUAACAGUCAGAGUUUCUAAUUCAGGAAAAUUUAUAACAUCCAGUGGCAAAGACUUCAGACUAUGACAGGCAGCAACAUUCAAUGCUUUAAGAGCAGGGAACUUCACCCCUCCAAAGAUAGACUCCAUAUUAUGGCAUGAUUCAAUAGACAGAAGUUCAAGGGAGAUCAAAUUGGUAAUCUCAGUGUAAGGCAAAACAGGUUGCUUUGUAGUUAUCCCCAAAUGCCGAAGACAAAUCAAUUUUCUGAAUCCUUUGGGCAAUGCUUCCAGCUCCUUGCAUCUCAGAACACUCAAGAAUUGCAAAUUUUGGAGCUUGCAAAUAGAAUUGGGGAGUCUCUUGAUGUUGGGAUUAUUCUGAAUGCUGAAAGAUCUCAAGUGUUUCAACUUACCAAUAGAACGUGGCAAAGUCUUGCAUGUCGAAUCUCUUAAAUCCAAAACUCGCAAUAAUUUGAACUUUGACACACAGGUAUUUAGCAAAGCUUCAACGUUGGCUCCUUCUGCACCAUUUGGAAUCAUUAUAGAUCUCACGGCUACCGAUUUUGAGGUGAAUGAAUUUCCAAGAGAACUGAAUUCCGCAAAAGACAGAUGCCGAAUAUUCUCAGGAAUAUUUUGAACGUGGGAAUUUACAAGUAGACACUCAUCUUUUGCAACAAACAGAGCAAGAUCAUGCACCAAAUCAUGAAUUUUAAAUUGAUAAAUAGUGCCACCAUCAAUAAAAUCUUGAAGGAAAGAUCUUGACAGUAAUUCAUCCAGAUACUGUUUGACAACAUCUUCCGGUGUCUCAUUCUUUCUUGGUGGUGCAAGGACACCAAGUGCCUCCCAAAGCCUAGCUACCUCAACACUAUGAAAUUCAUAAUCCUUUGGGUAAAGUGAAAACAAUGCAAAACAUUGCCUCAAAUAGGAGGGCAAGAAAUCAUAACUUAAUUUAAGUGCAGGUAAAAUGUCAUCUUUAUUUUGUGGCAAAUUCCAAAUUUCAUUGUCUCUCACAUAUUCCCACUCAUUUGCCUCAAACUUUGAAAAUAGUAAACUCCCCAAUGUUCUCACAGCCAAUGGAACCCCUUUGCAUUUUUUCACAAUUUCUUUUCCGAUAUUUACCAAAUGGGGAUGUUUCUCCUCUUCGCCUUCGUUUUUAAAUGCCCAUUUGACAAAAAGAGACAAUGAAUUCUCAGGAGAAAGGUUUUGUAACUUGUAAGAGGCAACAGUCCCCAUCAUGGAAGCAAUGGAAUCAAUACGUGUAGUAACUAGAAUUUUACUUCCUGCAGCAACCCCUUCUUUUAAUAAAUUCCUCAACUCAACCCAUUUAACACGAUCAUCAUUCCAUACGUCAUCCAAGACAAGUAAGAAUUUUUUACCGGCAAGUUUGCUGGUCAAUUGAUUUUGUAAUUGCUCCAGAUCGACCAUGUCUAAAUUCUGUUGGCGAAGAGGAGCAUCGUUAACAUUCACAGAAUUGAUGAUUUUGAUAACGAGUUGGUUGAUGUCAAAGUCAUCAGAAACACACACCCACAUCUUCAAUUUGAAACACUCAUCUAUCCUCUUAUCAUUAAACACAAACUUUGCAAGUGUAGUUUUUCCCAAGCCUCCAAUCCCCACAAUGGGGAUAACAGAGAGACUUUUAUCAUCAUCGUUGGGAUUCUGCUGCAUGAAAAGCUCUAUGAUCUUUUCUUUAUCAUGUUCCCUUCCUAUCACAUCUGAGUCACUCACACGGGAGUGUGUCAUGCGACUCGUGUCCCUCCUAUGAACGACUCGUGUGUCAACAUCAAUUAUUCGGAGACCAAACUUCUGCCCAUCAGUUGCAACCUUGUCUAGCCGCUUGCUGACAUCUUUGAUUUGUUGAGCCAUCUUGGAACGAAAAACAAGUGGAUUAGAACUUGAGAAGAAGUGGCUUACCUGGUCUUUGAUGGUACCAUGAUCUUUGAGCACUUGCUUUCGCAGUGUUUGGCACUCAAAUUCAUCCAACACAUUUUGGGCAUCAUAGAAGACACUUUUGAGCUGCCUCAGCCAUUCCCGAAGCACAUGGUUAUGCUCCUGCUUUUGCUCAGCAUCUAACAGCACUGCCUUAACUAAUGAGAGAGUCUUUUUAAGGUCUCGGAGAUGGUCGUACAAACCCACCACCCGAGAAGCUUCUUGGAAAGCAUGAGAAGCAAGCUUUGUUAUGAGAGACUCAGCGAUGCUGAAGAUAAAUGAUUCAGCCAUGGUUUGUGUUAUCAGGAAUUCCAACACCAGAGAUCGGAA